rnacentral:rRNA from 1 species
CUACGGGUCGCAGCAGGCGAGAAAACUUUGCAAUGUGCGAAAGCACGACAAGGUUAAUCCGAGUGGUUUGUGCUAAACGAACCUUUUGACAGUCCUAGAAACACUGUUGAAUAAGGGGUGGGCAAGUUCUGGUGUCAGCCGCCGCGGUAAAACCAGCACCUCAAGUGGUCAGGAUGAUUAUUGGGCCUAAAGCAUCCGUAGCCGGCUCUGUAAGUUUUCGGUUAAAUCUGUACGCUCAACGUACAGGCUGCCGGGAAUACUGCAGAGCUAGAGAGUGGGAGAGGUAGACGGUACUCGGUAGGAAGGGGUAAAAUCCUUUGAUCUAUUGAUGACCACCUGUGGCGAAGGCGGUCUACCAGAACACGUCCGACGGUGAGGGAUGAAAGCUGGGGGAGCAAACCGGAUUAGAUACCCGUGUAGUC